GACGAACGCUGGCGGCGUGCUUAACACAUGCAAGUCGAGCGGUAAGGCCUCUUCGGGGGUACACGAGCGGCGAACGGGUGAGUAACACGUGGGUGACCUGCCCUCAGCUCUGGGAUAAGCCUGGGAAACUGGGUCUAAUACCGGCUAUGACCUUUCCUCGCAUGGGGUUUGGUGGAAAGUUUUUUCGGCUGGGGAUGGGCCCGCGGCCUAUCAGCUUGUUGGUGGGGUGAUGGCCUACCAAGGCGACGACGGGUAGCCGGCCUGAGAGGGCGACCGGCCACACUGGGACUGAGACACGGCCCAGACUCCUACGGGAGGCAGCAGUGGGGAAUAUUGCGCAAUGGGCGGAAGACUGACGCAGCGACGCCGCGUGGGGGAUGACGGCCUUCGGGUUGUAAACCUCUUUCGACCCCGACGAAUUUGGACGGUAGGGGUAGAAGAAGCACCGGCCAACUACGUG
rnacentral:rRNA from 1 species